AUGGAAAAGGCUAGGCCAAGUUAUCCGGAAAUGCGGAUGAGGGAGGUUGCUUUUCUGGGAAGAACAAGAGAGAUGGAAGUGAAGAGCCUACUGUCUGUCUAUCGUGCUAGACUUGAAUUGUCCCCGGCAAUCACCAUACGGCAAGCCUUUCUUUUUUGGGGCGGGAAAGGUGAUUUGCGGUUCAACACCAACGGGGAAAAGGAUAUGCGGCAAGAUAAGAGGAUAAGAAGGUUAGGAGCCCUAGGCCGAUCCAAGAUCCAACUCAUCCGUACGGCUGGCUGUACCACCAGCCGGCGAUAUUGGCCCAACUACCUCAGAUAUCAAAAUCUCGGGGAACCCUUAAUAAAACCAGCUCCAUUAUCCAUGGAUCUUCGCCGAUACAUUUCAGUGCAGGUACGGGAAUCAGUUUGA
rnacentral:rRNA from 1 species